GAGUUUGAUCCUGGCUCAGGAUGAACGCUAGCGGCAGGCCUAACACAUGCAAGUCGAGGGGCAGCAUAAAAUAAGCUUGCUUAUUUGGUGGCGACCGGCGCACGGGUGCGUAACGCGUAUGCAAUCUACCCUAUACUGAGGGAUAGCCCGGAGAAAUUCGGAUUAAUACCUCAUAGUAAUUAGAGAUCGCAUGAUUUUUAAUUUAAAGGUUACGGUAUAGGAUGAGCAUGCGUCCCAUUAGCUAGAUGGUAAGGUAACGGCUUACCAUGGCGACGAUGGGUAGGGGGCCUGAGAGGGUGGUCCCCCACACUGGUACUGAGACACGGACCAGACUCCUACGGGGGGCAGCAGUGGGGAAUAUUGGGCAAUGGAGGAAACUCUGACCCAGCGACGCCGCGUGAGGGAUGAAGGCCUUCGGGUUGUAAACCUCUUUCAGUAGGGAAGAAGCGAAAGUGACGGUACCUACAGAAGAAGCACCGGCUAACUAUGUGCCAGCAGCCGCGGUAAUACAUAGGGUGCAAGCGUUGUCCGGAAUUAUUGGGCGUAAAGAGCUCGUAGGUGGUUCGAUACGUCGGAUGUGAAAAUCAGGGGCUCAACCCCUGACCUGCAUCCGAUACGGUCGAGCUAGAGUUUGGUAGGGGAGACUGGAAUUCCUGGUGUAGCGGUGGAAUGCGCAGAUAUCAGGAGGAACACCGAUGGCGAAGGCAGGUCUCUGGGCCAAUACUGACACUGAGGAGCGAAAGCGUGGGGAGCGAACAGGAUUAGAUACCCUGGUAGUCCACGCCGUAAACGGUGGGCGCUAGUUGUGCGAACCUUCCACGGUUUGUGCGACGCAGCUAACGCAUUAAGCGCCCCGCCUGGGGAGUACGAUCGCAAGAUUAAAACUCAAAGGAAUUGACGGGGCCCCGCACAAGCAGCGGAGCAUGCGGCUUAAUUCGACGCAACGCGAAGAACCUUACCAAGGCUUGACAUAUACAGGAAUAUGGCAGAGAUGUCAUAGCCGCAAGGUCUGUAUACAGGUGGUGCAUGGUUGUCGUCAGCUCGUGUCGUGAGAUGUUGGGUUAAGUCCCGCAACGAGCGCAACCCUUAUUCUAUGUUGCCAGCGGGUAAUGCCGGGGACUCGUAGAAGACUGCCGGGGUCAACUCGGAGGAAGGUGGGGAUGACGUCAAGUCAUCAUGCCCCUUAUAUCUAGGGCUGCAAACACGCUACAAUGGCCGGUACAGAGGGCUGCGAACUCGCGAGAGUAAGCGAAUCCCACAAAGCCGGUCUCAGUUCGGAUUGGAGUCUGCAACUCGACUCCAUGAAGCUGGAGUUGCUAGUAAUCCCGGAUCAGCACGCCGGGGUGAAUACGUUCCCGGGCCUUGUACACACCGCCCGUCACACCACGAAAGUCGGCAACACCCGAAGCCGGUGGCCUAACCGUAAGGAAGGAGCCGUCGAAGGUGGGGUCGGUGAUUGGGGUGAAGUCGUAACAAGGUAACCGUA
rnacentral:rRNA from 1 species